rfam:Nitratifractor salsuginis DSM 16511, complete genome.
GGUGGUGUCGCUGGCGAGAGGGUCACACCCGGCUCCAUUCCGAACCCGGAAGUUAAGCCUCUCAGCGCCGAUGAUACUGCAGACUACGUCUGUGGGAACGUAGGUCGACGCCACCC